GAUGAAGUGGCUGAUUAAAGCGAUAAAUUGUAAAUUUAUUAAUGAGUUUGAACUCCUUCAUUA
rnacentral:tRNA from 1 species